UGUUUUUCAGUUGUGUUUAUUAGCUCACAUAGUAAUUAAUAGCCCAAAUUGCAUCAUAGGCAGUGGAGAGAUAGGGAGUGAAUGAGCAGUGCUGCUGGAUAUCCUGAACAGCAGAGAUGUCAAACACUGUUUUGCUUCCUGAAGUCUUGCUCUGUAAUGGGAGGCAGCGUCUGGAAGGAAAUGGUAAUUGACAGUUUUGCUUCCCAAGAGGAUUUGCUCCAUUGGCUUAACUGCGCUGCAGUCUGUGGUGGACAAGUAGACUCCAUCCAUGCUUACCUAAAUCCUUAAAAAGACAGUAACACAGAAAGAAAAG
rnacentral:lncRNA from 1 species